CGCAUCUGUGCAUGCAGCAUAUCAAUAAGCGGAGGAAAAGAAACUAACAAGGAUUCCCUUAGUAACGGCGAGUGAAGCGGGAAGAGCUCAAAUUUGAAAUCUUCAAGGUUUUACCUUGACGAAUUGUAGUUUAAAGAAGUGUUUUCUGUUGAAGUUUUGGUAAAAGUUCUUUGGAAUAGGGACAUCAUAGAGGGUGAGAAUCCCGUAUUUGACCAUUAUUUUCAGCUGUGUGAUACACUUUCAAAGAGUCGGAUUGUUUGGGAAUGCAGUCCAAAAUGGGUGGUAAAUUUCAUCUAAAGCUAAAUAUUGGCGAGAGACCGAUAGCGAACAAGUACCGUGAGGGAAAGAUGAAAAGAACUUUGAAAAGAGAGUUAAACAGUACGUGAAAUUGUCAAAAGGGAAGCGUUUGACACCAGUGUUGUUUUCUCGAAAAUCAAUUAAAAAGAGUUUGAUUUUGUUGUGUAUUGACCUUAACAGCUUGCAUUUCAAUUUUCUUGCUUUUUUUAAUGCACUUUUCGUUUAACAAGUCAACAUCAGUUUCUUUUGUUGUAAAAAGGUCAUUGGAAGGUGGCUUUCUUUUCGGAGAAAGUGUUUAUAGCCUUUGACUCCUGCAAUCGGAGAGACUGAGGUCUGCAGCGUAGAUCCUUCGGGGUUAGAUACAUUUGUGCUAAGUUAUAGCUUUUUAUAGACAACUUGUUGACUAUGAUUAGUCUUGUAGCUUACUCGCUUAUGCUAUUUUACCUACGCUUAGGAUGUUGAACUCUAUCACACACAG
rnacentral:rRNA from 1 species